UUAAUUUCAUAUAGGAAAACUCGUAUAAAUUCGGGAAUAUGGCCCGAAAGUCUCUACCCAGAAACCGUAAAUUUUUGGACUACGAGAAGAUAAGUACGGCAG
rnacentral:ncRNA from 23 species